ACAGCAGCCGCGGUAACACGGGGGUGGCAAGCGUUGUCCGGAAUUACUAGGCGUAAAGGGCAGGUAGGCGGAUUUAUAAGUCAGACGUUAAAGACCUCGUCUUAAGCGGGGAGCGGCGUUUGAUACUGUAGAUCUUGGAUAUGGUGGGGGAAGACGGAAUUCCAGGUGUAGCGGUGGAAUGCGCAGAUAUCUGGAGGAACACCCAAGGCGAAGGCAGUCUUCUACGCCACAAUCGACGCUAAACUGCGAAGGUGUGGGGAUCAAACAGGAUUAGAUACCCUGGUAGUCCGCACAGUAAACGAUAGACACUAGGUGUUGGGGGAGAUGAAUCCUUCAGUGCCGUAGCUAACGCGUUAAGUGUCUCGCCUGGGGAGUACGAUCGCAAGGUUGAAACUCAAAGGAAUUGACGGGGGCCCGCACAAGGC
rnacentral:rRNA from 1 species